GUGCACGUAGCACAAUUAUUAUAGUACGGAUCACGUUCUCGUGCUAUGAUUUGGUCGACAAUGUUAUAAGAUAGACGUGAUACGUAGUUUCUUUUUUGAAAACGUGGACGUGGGGCGCUAGUGUCCGGGGGAGAUCGCCGGUCCCAUCCAAAAAGCCGGCGUGGCCGCUCUCACGCUUCUCUCUGAUAUUACUGAAGAGAAACAAACAACACACGAUACCAGACGAUCGCUGGCACGAGAUCUAUAUCGAUCCACCACGCUAUUAGUUCCAAAACCCAACUUAUUCCCAUCACUAUGAACAGUUUCAGGUACAUAUUCAACCUACCUCUGCUUAUUUUCAUCGUGGCGUUUGCUCUCCGAGUCUCUCAACUGCUGAGCUGUAUGUAUAUUCUGAUAUAAAAUCGUUAAUGUUGUGGCGAUGAAGAAACAAAUGUUACUGAUAAUAGUAGCAGUCAUAGUUCUGGCAAUAUGGAAUAUACCACGAACGUCAGCAGCAAGAACGGCAAAGACACUAGGAGACACGCAGAUAUAUAUACUGGAAGUU